GCCCAGUUGGCUCAGUCGGUGGAGCGUGCGACUUUUGAUUUCAGGGUUGUGAGUUCAAGCCCCACAUUGGGUA
rnacentral:tRNA from 1 species